rnacentral:rRNA from 1 species
CGGAGGGUGCAAGCGUUAUCCGGAUUCACUGGGUUAAGGGGUGCGUAGGUGGGAAUGUAAGUCAGUGGUGAAAUCUCCGUGCUUAACAUGGAAACUGCCAUUGAUACUAUGUUUCUUGAAUUUUCUGGAGGUAAGCGGAAUAUGUCAUGUAGCGGUGAAAUGCUUAGAUAUGACAUAGAACACCAAUUGCGAAGGCAGCUUACUACAGGGAUAUUGACACUGAGGCACGAAAGCGUGGGGAUCAAACAGGAUUAGAUACCCUGGUAGUCCACGCCCUAAACGAUGGAUACUCGACAUUUGUGAUACACAAUAAGUGUCUGAGCGAAAGCAUUAAGUAUCCCACCUGGGAAGUACGACCGCAAGGUUG